rnacentral:lncRNA from 1 species
CUAUUUAGCUCUCUGAAUCGCCCUCACCCCACCCCCUCCCGUUUUGUCUCUCCACCCACAUACACCCCCUUCAGAGAACAACCAUCUACCGCCCUAGACCGCCGCUAGAAAUCGCCUCAUGGCGGCGGGCGGUCACCGAACGACACCAAUUACACCAUAACAUCUCCUCGUCAUCCUCAUCACAAAUUUGACCUUCAUUUCCCCCAAAUCCCCGUCAAAGUUGUCGAAUAACCCAAACCCUAGGUUCCGCCUCCGCCGCACACGGCGGCACCGCCUCCAAACCACCCCAAAUCAGUACCUUGAGAACCCCUUUUCCCCCCUCGUGAUAAAUCUCAUAUCGGUUCCCUUCAAACAUCCCUGAAACCUCUCGAGUCUCGAAUUUUGUUUAACCCUAAAAUCCAAACAGUUGAAGUCUUCAUCAAGGUUUUGGUUGUGUUCUGAGGUUAUCUAUGUGUUUUUGGUUAAAAGCACAUGAAUAGCCUCAGAUUGAAUCAGGACAUGACAUGCAGAAGAUCCUUGCUGAUUUCUGUCCGGUUAUUUCGUUAGGUAUUUCCUCUAUCUCGUUUUCUUUGGUGUAAUUUCGUCUAUUCCUCAAUCUUUUCUUCGAUUUUGUUAAUUGUUUGAUCCGUUUGUGUUCCUGCAAGGAGUCAACUAGCUUUGGACUAAUUUAAGGCUUUGUUUAGGCUUGAUUAACUGUUCUCCAUUGAUUAAUUUAUUUAAAAAUUUAGGAUUUUAAUUGAUUCUGUUUUAGUUUUUGGUUUAAUUUUGUUCUGUUUUGAUUUUUUCUAGUUUGAUUUUGUGUUUUGUUUUAAUUAAAUAAUCCAUGAUUGUUGCUGAUAAUUUGCUAUGUAGUUUCAAUUGCCAUUUAUUAUCAGUCCACUGAUUCUUAGUUUAUUCAUGAUUAGUUGAAUUGUUUAAUUAGUUCAAUUUUUAGUAUAUGUUUGGUUAUAGCUGAAUAGGCUAGAUUUUUGUUUAACCAUGGUCACUUCUUGACCAGAUUAUCAGGGAAAAAGGGGUUAGUUUUAGUUUGAUAAUUUUCAGAAGUAGAAAAGGGUAGUCUAGGUAUUUCAGAAUCAGAAAACUUUUAGCAACUGAAAUUAGAAGCCACUAGAAGUACCUAAAAGGGGUUCUAAUUAGAAUUCCAAAUUCAUAGUGGUGUGACUUGGAUAGCAAGUCAAUAAAUAAGGGACUUCUAAGCUAAAAGCAAGAGUUAAAAAGGGACUAAAAUGCAAGAAAGAAACUUGUAGGGCUGCCCUAGUUGUUUGCCUAUAAAGGCACCAUUUUUUGCCUUAGAGAAGAGAGGUUUUUUUAGAGCUAAAAAACUCCAGAAACAAACCUGUAAAAAAAUUUUACUGUUUCAUUCAAGCUCGAGGAUAAAAAUCAAAAAUACAAAAGAUACUAUUGUUCCAUUGAAAAUAUUUGAAAUUUCUUGUGGUGUUCACUCUAGAACAAAUUUUGAGCAACUAGCAGUUAGAAAUGAGAUGACAUCUUGCUGAUAUUCAAGUGUUUUUGGUUCAUUCUUGGUUGGAGUUUGGUCCUGAAUUUUUUGUGAUAUCAUUUGGGUUCAAAACUGGUUUCAAGUGAUCUUUCCAAUCAUUUUCUGGUUGAUUCUACUGUUGUUGUGUUUUUCAUUGCUGACCCUACUUCAUUUUUUCUUGUUCAAAUUGGAAGAGUGAAAUGAAGAUAGACAGUUGUUUUAAUCUUUUCUUUACUUCUUGUGUCUGAAAUGUCAUUUUCAGUGCAUUUUCUGUCUAUUAACUUGCUUUGUAGUAUUAGUUUAAGUCCUGGAUUUCAGCUUUUGAGUAAGUUAGAAUAGUGUUGUUAAAACUUUGAGGGCAUAGUCGUGGCUAUUACAUGGCCUAAGCUCUACCUUGUUUGUUUUGGUUGAGUUUUACUAGGGCUCAUUAGUGUAGAUUUACACUCAUAUUUUUUACAAUCUUCAUGAAGGCCUUGCAAGUUAGUUCAAGGGUGUGUAAAUUAUAGCCUGCUUACUGAUUAUUUAGUUGUUAUGAUCAAUAUACUUAGAUAAGUUUAGUGGCUUAGAUGAGUUUACAUGUUCCCUAUGGCAGUUCUUUGUCAAUGGGUAUUGAUUUAAGUAUACGAGUUUUGUUAAAAAGUGAUUACACUUGGUUAAGUUCAAUUAUGGCUUUGCAAUUUUGUUCAUUCCAGUAGCUGAUUCAUAAUUUUAUCCAUGUGUUAGUAAUUGAAAGUGACAUGAAGGAAUGGUCAAUCUGAUCGUUUUGGUUAAUUUAUGCUAAGAGGUGCAAAGCAUAAAUCGAAUUUCCAAAGUAAUUUCAGGCCAUAUGUGGUGACAAUUCGUGUUUGCAUUAUGGUUUGGGUCAUGGACCCAUUUGUUCAUGAAGCUGGGCCAAAUGCCCUAUGCAGUUUUUUUAUGAGCGGCCACAUAAUGUAGGCUACCAGGCCUCAUGUUGGGCCUAGUCAUUUAAUUUGAAAUGUUAGCUUCUUCCGUUCAAAUAGUUUCUCUUGGGCCUGGUGUGUUACUCAACUUAAAGCCAGCAACUGAUUAAUUCGAAGUCCUACAUGGUAUUCAAUUAUGAAGCCCAGAAUAUGGGUAUGACUUCAAGUGCAGUUUGUUCAUCGCAAUUGGACUACCAGGCUGGGCUUCAUUUGGAGCCUAGUCGUUACCUGAGUUGAGCCAAUUAUAAUGGAUGACUCAAAAGUGAUCUUUCCUGGCUCGUUUUAAGUUCCUAAUAUAGAUGCAACAAAUGAUUAAUAUUUCAUAGAAUAUCCUUUAGGUCCAUCUUAAAAUACUAUCAUGAUUAUGUAUACGUUCGCGUAACACAAUUAUUGUUCUAAAAACAAAAUUGGAGUAUGCGUUUGCGCAACUUUGGCCCAAACUUUUCUCAAUAAUAAUUAAGUGUUAUUAAUUGUGGACACGUUUGCGUGACAUGAUUUUGACGCACCAAACAAGUGGAUAUAUGUACGCGUAACCCGUUUCAAGAUAAUUUUCUAAUUAAAGCCGGUGAAAGAAUUAAGUGCAUAGGUUCUAAAAUCAAUAAUUAAAUGAUUUCGUAAGCUAAGUAUUAUCAAAACGACCGUGCUAGAACCACGGAACUUGGGAGUGCCUAACACCUUCUCCCCAGUUAACAGAAUUCAUUACCCGGAUUUCUGAUUUGUAGACUAUAAUAACAGAGUCAUUCUUUUUCUCGAUUCGGGAUUAAAACCAGUAACUUGGGACGCCAUAAAUCUCCCAAGUGGCGACUAUGAUUUUUAAUUAAAAUGAAUUUCGUUUUGAUUGUCCUUUAAUUAAAAAAAACUCCCUUUAUUAUAUCUCACUCGGGGGUGUAGAAUAAGAACGGAGGUGUGACAAUCCUAUUUGUGCACUACAUGGUUUUCUUACCUAGAAAAUUGAUUUUCUCUCCUUAUUCCAUCUCAAUUAGCCGUUUGACCUAGACCCCUAAUUAAAGGAGUCUAGUUAUCUUAAUUGAUACUAAUUGAUUGGUUUCUAUGUUUGUGCACUCUGUGCCUGUCUUACUUGUUUUCAAAAACUUUAUAGGGACUUAGCCCCCCUCCCUUUCAAAGAGUCAAUUCAUACAUCAUCAGAAAGAUACGAAACUACGCUCACACACUUAAACACACUUUCUUGCAAUAUUGUCUCCUAAUCCUACUUAGUUUGAGAUCUUUUGAAACUGAUGUUCACAACUUGGCUCUUUCAAGGCUACUUUUGCUUACUUAUUUUUCUCUGAAAUCGGUAUGUUCUUUAUCUAAAUCUUCUGCCUCAACCCCAAAUUUACACUCAUAUUUUUUACAAUCUUCAUGAAGGCCUUGCAAGUUAGUUCAAGGGUGUGUAAAUUAUAGCCUGCUUACUGAUUAUUUAGUUGUUAUGAUCAAUAUACUUAGAUAAGUUUAGUGGCUUAGAUGAGUUUACAUGUUCCCUAUGGCAGUUCUUUGUCAAUGGGUAUUGAUUUAAGUAUACGAGUUUUGUUAAAAAGUGAUUACACUUGGUUAAGUUCAAUUAUGGCUUUGCAAUUUUGUUCAUUCCAGUAGCUGAUUCAUAAUUUUAUCCAUGUGUUAGUAAUUGAAAGUGACAUGAAGGAAUGGUCAAUCUGAUCGUUUUGGUUAAUUUAUGCUAAGAGGUGCAAAGCAUAAAUCGAAUUUCCAAAGUAAUUUCAGGCCAUAUGUGGUGACAAUUCGUGUUUGCAUUAUGGUUUGGGUCAUGGACCCAUUUGUUCAUGAAGCUGGGCCAAAUGCCCUAUGCAGUUUUUUUAUGAGCGGCCACAUAAUGUAGGCUACCAGGCCUCAUGUUGGGCCUAGUCAUUUAAUUUGAAAUGUUAGCUUCUUCCGUUCAAACAUUUCCCUUUUUUGCUUCUGUUUCUGUUACGAAUCCCCCACCCAUAUUCCCUUCUAUGUGUUGAGUUAAGCUUUGGGACUGAUAGUAUUCUGAUUACAGCCCAUGCCAUGGCUUGAUCCACAAUGGAUCCUAACUCUCAACGUUUGACUAGUAAGCUGGUCAAGGGUGUGCCAGCAUCCCAAUUGCUGAGCAUGACCACCAGCCUGACAUGUCCCUCUUUGAUUCCCUUCCCCUUGUGCACUUAUACUUAUUCUUAGACUCUUAUGUUCUGCCCCUCUCUUAUGAGCCUUGCUUUGGGGCCAUGAGUUCCAUCUAAACUUGGACAUCUAAGGGCUUGCAUUUCCACACACUCUAUAUUCUUAAUUCUGCAAUGUUUUUUUUUUUGGGUGUAAGCACCUAAAGCCCUUUGAGACUCUUGGGAACUUUGACAUACCCCCAAAAAAUGAGAAGGUCUUUUGGAAAUCUGAUCCUGGAAGUUGGUUUAUCACAUAUUGUUGGACUUUGAGUCUGAAUUAGGCUGUUUGGAUGUAGCUGGAGCUUCUGAUAUAAUUUUUACCUUUUUUUUCUGAUUCAUUCGGGUCUGUAACGAUUUGUAAUAACUAUUGGGGAUGGCUAGUGAAAAGUAUUGGGGAUGAAUCCAUGCGAAGGGUAGAAAACAUGCCUAUAAGUUUUUACAAUCUUUGCAUUCCGACAUCUAGAAAACCUGCCUAUAGGUCUUUAUAACUUCUGCAUUUCAGUAUCUAGAAAGCAUGCCUAUAAGUCUUUCAAUGUUUCUGCUUACACACGCCAUUAGGCAAACCAUCUUAGGCUUAUCAAUAAUCGAUUCAUUCUAGAUACCAUGUCUAUAUGGUUAUUAUAAUUGUUUAAAAUCAAUGACAUUUAGAGAUCAUGCAUAUAGGAACAAAUCGAUUAACUCAUUUGUGUUUCGAGUCUAAAAUUAGUCAUAAGGUCGUAAGAGUCUGCAGAUUUUUACUAGCAACUUUUCCGAUAAAUCAAUGCGUUCUAGUAGAUGUCAUGCCUAUUGGCCUCACCUCGGCGAGCUGAUAGGUAAUUAAUAAACAGUGUCUGUCUUUGAUAACUACAUCCAGACAAGGCUAAUUCGGACUUCUCAUCUGAGAAAUAUGUGAUGAAUCAGCCUAUCCUACGUCUUAAUUUAAUUCAGACCAAACCAGUAUUUGAAGUCAUGAUAUAUUUGCUCUUUCAAGUAAGGAGGCCUGUAUGAGCCUUAACUACUAUUUGUUCCCCUUCAAUUGCUAUUUGUUUUGCUUGCCGCCUAGAUUUUUACCCUUUUUGAAGCUCUAAAAAGGCCCCUACUCCCUCCUUUUCAGGAUCAGUAGUCUCAAUACCUCCAAGACUGAUAGGAUCGGGACUGAUAAUAGCACACAAUAAGUAACAAUAUCAUUCCAUGCUUUAAUACCUUAACGGGGUGAGAUGCGUAGAUAUGGAGAUGAUGACUGAUGCGUUAAUAUCUCAUGUAACCCCUCUUCCGAUGAGUGAUUACUUGAUAUUACAUUGACGUGAUCCAUGUUAAUUAUAAAUCUAGGACCCCUCUCCUUUUAUUUUCUUUCAUCUCUUCUUGUAAAACUAUUCAAGUCUUUUUAAAAUUUUCUGCCCUCUCUCUUACCUUCAAAAGUUUCCAACUUAUUUAUAAAGUCAUAUGCAAGUCCCUCUUUUUUGAAUCCUAAUUGCUUACUUGGUUAUGUGAAGUCACAAUUAUAAUACGGUCGGGAACCAUACUAGUUGAUCUUGAGGGGUGCAUAACACUUUUCCUUCGAGAUAAUUUCUAGCUCUUACCCAAACUCUGAUUUCUUCAAACUCAAACCCUUCUUAGUGUCCUAAUGCACUUAAUCAUUAGAUGGUGACUCUUCAAUCCAAAUCCAAUUCUCAAAAGAGAACGAGUUGUCCUCCUAAAUGUCAUGAACCCGGAUUAGCUACAGAAAAAGGGGGCGUCGACACUUUCUACAUAAGGACCUAAGAACCCUAGAGGCGAAUUUUCCACAAAUAAGUCUGAGCACACACUCGCCACCUUGCAUGCAUGGACUACAAUUAAUAUAGAGGACUCAAUUCCUAAGGGAAAGUCCCCCAUACAGGCUAUGCAAGAUACGUACCUCAAUCCGGCCAAUUUUAUACUCAAUUUAGCUUUUUCUUUACCAACUCAUCAAUGUUCGGCUCAAUCUAGCUAUAAACGACUUGAAUACAUCUAACAAUGCAAGAGAAAAUAAUUCUAAUUAACAAAACUAUGAUUCUUAUGCAGUUUGCAAAAGGUUGACAAAAGUCAACUCCCGGGCCCGCACCUCAAAAUCUGACAAAAUUUACAAAAAUCAAAUACACAUUCCGAUAUGAGUUCACUCAUACAAAAAUUAUCCAAUCCCGUUAUCAUUUGGUCCUUGAAAUCAUCAUUUUACAUUUUUGAAGAACUUUACAUAUUUUUCCCAAAUUCCAUCUCAAAUCACGAAUCAAAUGAUGAAUUCAAUUAUAGAAUCAUAUAUUCUAUCCAAAUCCGAGUUAGAAUCACUUACCCCGAGGAAUUUCUUGAAAAAUCUUGGAAAAAUCACCAAGAUCUGAGCUCUCUAGGUCAAAAUAUGAAAUAGAACUCUAAACCUCAGUAUUUAUAGUACAUCUCCUAAAUUUUCAUCACUGUUGACCGGACAAAAACCACCGCUGACCGCGGAGAAUGUUGUCUGUAGAGACAUGCUUUAGUAUUGUGGCCAUAACUUUCUCUAAAGUCCAAACUGUGAUUUCGUUACCUUUCUUGAAACUAGACACAAAGGGCUACAACUUUCGUUUUUGAAUCAUCUCAAACUUCCUUGUAGAUCAAAAGAUAUAAGCUUGCAAAGUCAAACUAGUGCACCUGCGGAUUCUUCCUCACCGCGAACCACACAAAAUCGAGUGCGGCCGCAAAGAUUCCACUGUUGCAGCAAAAUAUCACUGCUGACCGUGGUCCUCUCAUGAUUUUUUCAACAACCUUCGUGUGCCGAAAUAUCCGAACUCGUUCAAAACUUACCCCGAAACUCAUCUGAGGUCCCCAGAACCUCAACCAAAUGUACCAACACAUCUCAUCACAUCAUACGUACUUAGCCUUACUUUCACAUCACUUCAAACAUCACUAAGACCACGAAUUGGAUGCCCAAAGGCACGAAAAUCACUAUGAACUUCUAGAACCUCUAGAAUUACAACCAAUCAUCUAAACCAUAUCAAAUCAACUCCAAACGAUACCAAUUUUUGCAGGCAAACCUCAAAUGACAUAAUGGAACUUUUCCAACUUUCAUAAUCGCAUUCCGUCCUUGAUAACAUAAAAGUUAACUAUGUGUCAAACCUCUCCAUUUUCCAAACUUCAACUUUUUCAACUUUCACCAAAAUGUCUCAAAUUACCCUAUGGGCCUCCAAACCCAAAUUCGAACACAUGCUCAAGCCUAAAAUUACCGUACGAGCUAGUAACAUCAUCCAAAACUUAUUCCGGAGCCGUUUACUCAAAAGCCAAAUUCUGGUCAAAUUCUCUCCGAUUAUGCUUCCAGAACAAUAUUCCUUCUUUCCAAUUCGACUCUGAUUCAUCCGAAAACUGAAUCCAACCAUGCAUACAAAUCGAUAUACAUGAUGUGAAGCUGCUCUUGAACUCAAACUGUCGAACCAGAUGCAAUUGCAAAAAGACCAGUCGGGUCGUUACAUGUCCCUUACCUCCCGUACCUCCCAUACCUCCCAUCCCACCCCCGUCCCAUGUCCCCUUCCCCCCUUCCCCGAGACAUGACCUUACUUUGUCAUUCCGGACCACAGCCACUAUAUUUAUGACAGAUUAAGGAAAACACUAACACACAACUAAAUUGGCGAAGUUAUAAACAAAAGAAAAGAUAACAAUGGAAUUAAUUAAGAAUGAUAUAAAUAUAAUGUACGUUCUUGUAAUUGUGUCAUCCUUUUGCUACUUCGCAAAAAUUCAUUUUACAUUGUGUAAAUAAUAGUAUUAUUUAGAUAUGUAUUCAUAUACUACGUAUAGGCCGAACGAGGCUUUCUACUAUCUUGCCCUAAGUGUAGUGAAAAUUUUAGGGAUGGCAAUGUAGUGGUGCGUGUACGAGGCAGGGCGGGUUUAAACAUAUGUGAAGCGAUGCUAGUUUAUAAAUAUGUAGGUGCAGGGCAGGCCGGGGCAGGCGAGUUAAACUAAAUAUAUAUAUAUAUAUAUAUAUAUAUAUAUAUAUAUUCAAGGGUACGGAUACGGGUGUGAGUUUCAAUACUCAUUUUUCACACAACUGAAAAGGAGUAAAAAAGUUUAGUUUUAAUAAAUCCAAUCUCACACACUAUAAAUUAAUAUUCUCGCAUUAUGACAAAAACAAUGAGGUCACUUGACGAAUAAUACAAAACUCUACCGUAACUAUAUGGUAACAGAGACUAAAAACUUGAACAAAUAACAGAAAAUGAGAAAAUUACUCCAUACUUCUUAUCAAAAUAAAUUAAGAUGCUAAAUUAUUUAUUCUAUCUAUGCAUGUGUACAUGUUGAUCCCCUGUUUAGUGAUCGCAAAAAAAAAGACAAUUAAAAAGGAAAAAAGUUGUGGGAUGGGUGGUGGACGCGGGUAUGGCGCAAAGCAGGUGGAUGCAGGUUAAAAAACUAUAAGGAACGAGGCGAGUUAAAAAUUGCGGGUUAAAAGAGCACUCGCCCCGCGCUCGCCCCGUAUCGCAUCGCUUGUUAUCCCUAAAAACUUUAGUGAUAUGGCAUAAAUCCGUCUUUACUAAUUUGUCUGGACUAAUUCGAAUUCGACAUGUAUAAGGCCUAUUAGAGAGGCAAGCUUUUUCUACCAAAUUUUUUUCAUACACAAUACUCCAACUGAGAACUCUAAUCAAGAAUAGAAAAAUCCAAUCAAUUCCACCGUAAGCCUUUGACGAAAGGUCUAGUUUUAGUGUGGUGUGGUCCACAGCGUAAGUGGUUAGUACAAUUUUGUCCGAUAAGAAAAAAGCAAACAUUAGCUGAUUCACUAUACCUUUUGAGUGAUUAAACAGUUUCAUGCAGGGUGUUUUUACUUUGUAACGUCAUUUUCAGUUUUGUUUUUUUAUUACUUUAAAGCAAAUCAAACAACCUGAGAUAUGACUAGGGUCUACAGAAUAAAUAAAAAAGUAACAUUAUUUACAGUCAAUUUGUGGGGGCUGACCAUUUAAUUUAAUUUCUAAUAAAGUUGGAGAAAUUUUCUAAUAUACGUACGCUUUGUGGAAGAAACAAACCAGGAAGAAAGACGAAAAAGCAUUCUUCAAUUGUAUUGUGUGGUUAGGUAAUAUUUUUAAUAUAUAUAUAUAUAUAUAUAUAUUCACUAUGAACUUCUAGAACCUCUAGAAUUACAACCAAUCAUCUAAACCAUAUCAAAUCAACUCCAAACGAUACCAAUUUUUGCAGGCAAACCUCAAAUGACAUAAUGGAACUUUUCCAACUUUCAUAAUCGCAUUCCGUCCUUGAUAACAUAAAAGUUAACUAUGUGUCAAACCUCUCCAUUUUCCAAACUUCAACUUUUUCAACUUUCACCAAAAUGUCUCAAAUGCUCUUUAAUUAGAGAGUCUGUCUCGAGCAUUGGAAUUAAAAAAAAUUUAUAACGAGUUCUUCUCCUUUAAAGAACCUUAUACUGGGCGAACCCGAAUUAAGCUGGGUCGAAAUAUAAGUACCAAACACCAACGAGCGAGAAAACCCAAAAAAAUAAGGCCAAGUAUUACUAAUAUUUUUGUGGAUGUAAAUAAAGUCAAGUCAAAAUAUUCUUCCACCUAAAAAGAUGAAUGAUUUUUUUUUUGGUACUAAAAAGAAAAGGAUGGAUGGUGAUAGCAAGUAUACUAUAUAUACAUUCAAUUAUUUGACACAACCAUCUUACCAUACCAACUUUCACGCUUCAAUUUUCUACAUAUGGAGAGAGUAGAGCAGUGUCGACGCACUGUUUACACUCAAUAUAGAAAGGGAUGUAAUUUCUAUACAUUAGUAAUAUAGCAGAAGUUCUUGGAGGGAAGGAUGCCGGGGGUCUAUUUGAAUACAACCUCUCUACCCUAGGGUAAGGGUAAGGUUUGCGUACAUACUACCCUCUCCAGACCCACUAAGUGGGAUUAUACUGGGUUGUUGUUUUUGUAGUAAUAUAGCAGAAAUUAUAUGAUAAUAAUUUAACCUACUAUAUAUUGAACUUUAUUAUCUUAUUUUCCAUGUUAUAAUAUAUUGUUUUUUUUUGUAAAAAUUACAUAUUGUUAUAGUUUAACUUGAUAGUAUAAAAAUUUAUACAUGAUCCGUGCAUAAAAUGUAGACUCUAUACUUAAUCAAUGGUAGAUAGAGUGAAUCUCUGGUAGCUACGAGUUUAAAUAGACAAAGUAUUCGGCACGAAACACCUAUAUGUGCAAAAUUACUCAAAUUUAACAAAUACUAGAUUCUAAACCAAUAACUUCAAAAUUGAUCUAAAAGUUGAAGCAUGAAUUCAAAUCAUGCAUUCACCUAUGUAAUAGUCAACGUUUCUCUUACAGGUUUAACUAUCCUAGUAUUUUCGAUAUAAUUUAAAUAUAUAUGUAAAAAAUUACUAAAAAUUUUAUGAAUAUUAAAUCUAAACUAAAAAUUUCAAAAGUAAGACAAAUUCAUCAAAUAUAUAUAUUCGAAAGACGGUAGAAAGAUAUAGUCAAAUCCUUACUCCAUAUCGACAUUGAAGAUUGAGAAAUAUAGUAAUAUGUGCGUGAAUUGCAUGGUUGUUCAUAGAAUUGACUGUUGAAUUGGCAUAUAUUGGCCGACGUACGAAUAUAAAGGCAUGGAAUGUUUGUAUCUGGAAAAAAAAAAGUUGAGAGUGGGGCCAGAGGAAAAUGCAGAGAUGAAUCCAAUAAUUUUGACAUGAUUUUGUAUAAAAAAUUUAUUAAAAUUACAAUAAAUAAUUGGUCUGAAUCAAUAAUUUUUUAAAAAUAUAAUCAAUGUAAAAACUGCUAAAGUUAAAAUGGUUCGAUUAUUUUUUUCUUUGAUUUUCCUCCUUUUUGAUUUGUUGGAGCUAUUUCUCAUUUGAUGACUCGAAACCAUAGCUCCGGGUUAUAGGUAGGGUAAUAACCAUAUGAGCAACUCCAUCUUGUCAAAAAUGGUAAAGCUCACAUUUUGAAUUUGCUUUCGAGCCACAAAAUCGAAUUAUUGACCAAUGUUUACAUUAGAAUAAGUUGACUACAUUAUAUUUUAUUGAAAUACUGCCUUUUCACGAAUUUUACAUAUAUACAAAAUACUUUGUAUAUCAUUCGGUUGAUUAGGGCAAUGGGUGGUGCAAUUGGCCGUGGGUGGUGUAGUUUGUUGAGGAACAUAAUGAGGACCCUUUUAGAUUUGCAUAGCUAAUAUUUUCUCAGACACAAAUUAUCUUCAGCCCUCAUUUCUGACUAAAUUUGAACACACCACUUUCCCUUAUAUAUCUUUAUAGUCAAUUCACAUAAUUUUAAAUUUAUUUUAGGGAAUUGAUCAUUGGGUUGGCCACCUACAUAUUUUUCCCUACAUAAUUUUUCUUUUUUGUUAUGGUCCUUUUUAAGUUUAAAUAUUUCAAUGGCAGUAUCAUAUGAGUUAUUUAGGACAAAUUAAAAAAUAAAGAAAAAUAUUUGAUAGUAAUGCACUCUUCUCCCAGUAAAUCCACUUUGAAGUUGACAACUUACGAGGAAAUGGUUCGAAAGUGAAUUUAAGUUUUGAUUAUGAUAUACUUUUUUUGCAAUAAAUCCAUGUCGAAGUUAAUUGAUAAAUUAUUUGCUAGGUUAAAAGUAAAUUCAAGCCGAUAUAUGGUAAAAAAAAGAGACAAAACGGUACACUACAACAACAACAAUAACAUAUAUAUCCAGUGUAUUUCUACAUGUGAGGUGAUGAUAAGUUAUAAUUACGUAUUUUAGUUGAUUAUUACACUCUAAUUUAUUGCAUUUUAGUGAGUUUGCGCUUUAAUCGUUAAUAUUUUACACUAAUGAUGUGUUUUAUACCUUGUAGAAAUAAUUUGAAGCUAUAUAGAUGUUAUGGAAUGAAUUCAAGUGAUUUAGAGCUUUUAAGACUGAGUAAAAGCCCAAGGAAUUAAGCCGGGAUCGUAUUCGGGGAUCAACGGAUAAUAAAGCAACAAAACAAAGAAUCGAGUAGGCAUAUUGUAUAGUGUCU